rnacentral:misc_RNA from 1 species
GAUGAAGAACGUAGCGAUAUGCGAUACGUAAUGUGAAUUGCAGAAUUCAGUGAAUCAUCGAGUCUUUGAACGCACAUUGCGCCCCCUGGUAUUCCGGGGGGCAUGCCUGUCCGAGCGUCAUUGCUGCCCUCAAGCACGGCUUGUGUGUUGGGCCUCCGUCCUCCUCCCGGGGGACGGGCCCGAAAGGCAGCGGCGGCACCGCGUCCGGUCCUCGAGCGUAUGGGGCUUCGUCACCCGCUCUUGUAGGCCCGGCCGGCGCUUGCCGACACAUCAAUCUUUUUUCCAGGUUGACCUCGGAUCAGGUAGGGAUACCCGCUGAACUUAAGCAUAUCAAUAAGCGGAGGA